GACGUAGGGCGCGAGCGUUGUCCGGAAUUAUUGGGCGUAAAGAGCUCGUAGGCGGUUUGUCGCGUCUGCUGUGAAAACCCGAGGCUCAACCUCGGGCCUGCAGUGGGUACGGGCAGACUAGAGUGCGGUAGGGGAGAUUGGAAUUCCUGGUGUAGCGGUGGAAUGCGCAGAUAUCAGGAGGAACACCAAUGGCGAAGGCAGAUCUCUGGGCCGCAACUGACGCUGAGGAGCGAAAGCAUGGGGAGCGAACAGG
rnacentral:rRNA from 1 species